rnacentral:lncRNA from 1 species
UGUAACUUUGGACCAAACCAUAAAAGAACAUAUUUGUCUUUGUGAGCAUGCCCAGGUUUCAAGAUCGUUGCAGGAGGCUCUUUUCUCAAUCCUGUCACCUUCAGAGACACAUUUUAUGCAGAUGUGAAAAAGAGCUUUCUCAUUAGCUGCUUCCAGGCUCUGAAAUUCCCUGUGACCUUCCACUACAAAAGUGACCUUCUACUAGAAUCCAGCCAGUCCUCUGACAUAUAAGCAGGGUUAUAGAUGAACAGGCUUGCUGCUUUUUCUCAAUGUGCUUUCAUUAUGCUUUAAAACUAUUUUUAUAUUUUAAGUAUAUUUAAUUUUAUUUCAGUUUUAUUAUCGCUAGCCACCUUGAGUGUCAUUUUUGGGAGAAAGAUUAAAUCAAUGAUUAAAUCAAUGAUCAACUGACAGACAGGCAACAAACCCAGAGACAUUCUUUGGUCUGACAAACAUUUAAGAUCAAAUAUGGUUCUGAAUGGGGGAAAUCUAUUUUUUAAAAAAAGAAAUUAAUGACCUUUGGAAACCUGGCUUGUUUAUUUAAGCCAUUUUUACCUUGGUUUUUCAGAUGAUAGGGCUACAAGAGUGGCUUAAAGUAUAAGUAAUGAGAUAACAUUUGUCUUCAGGCAUAGUGUGAAAAUGAUGUAACACAAAAGCAAGUCUUUAAGUCUGAAUCUGAGUCUUUGGUACCAAGUCUUAAGUCCAAGCCCAAGUCCUUAUGAAAAACAAGCUUUCUUCCCCAGGAAAAAAAAAAGAAACCUGAGUUGAAUCCAAGUUGAGUCACUAGUGUGACUUAAGUCCAACUUGACAGAAAGUCCCGGAAUCGAUUCCCCAUCCCUGAGCAACAGCAGACAGACUGGGAGGAACAAGAAAAUUUUUAAAGUGAAGUGGCUGAUGGAUAGAAUUGGAAAGUUGAAGAAGAAAAUUGGCAGAGGACUGCUUCAAACAAAGGAAUUCUGCAGCUCUAACCUUGGCCGAAGACCAACCAGAGUUCCCUGGAGUUCCCAUCAGCCUUGGUAUUAAAACAUACUGUUUGGUGAAGUCAGCACAAGACAUCACCACUAAACUGAAUCUUACAAAAAGUCUAUUGAAGUGGAGCACCCUCCAACAGAGCUCUUUAAACCUGAAGUGCUAAUUGCCUAGUAAUGAAAAAUUCAAUCACAGGGCUAUUAAAAUGCUAAGUGCUAAGCAGAUGGAUGGAAUCCAAACUAUUCUAGCAGAAACAGAGAAGAAGGAUAGCUUGAAAAACAUAUAGGAUGUGAUAUGUGUCAGGUUCUUCCAUUUGACAUCCACAUCCUGACCUUUGAGAAGGAAUUCCACAUUAUUUCUCUUCUAAAGUCACACAUAAGAAAAAAAUAGUAUAUUUUCCAAGACAGAAUGUAGACCUCUAACAAGAUGUUUCAUUCUCAUAUCACAGCUGCUUCUUAUAGAAACUGCACCAAUACAAAAAGUCUAUUGAAGUGGAGCACCCUCCAACAGAGCUCUUUAAACCUGAAGUGCUAAUUGCCUAGUAAUGAAAAAU